GACGAACGCUGGCGGCGUGCUUAACACAUGCAAGUCGAACGAUGAACCACUUCGGUGGGGAUUAGUGGCGAACGGGUGAGUAACACGUGGGCAAUCUGCCCUUCACUCUGGGACAAGCCCUGGAAACGGGGUCUAAUACCGGAUAACACUGCCACGGGCAUCUGUGGUGGUUAAAAGCUCCGGCGGUGAAGGAUGAGCCCGCGGCCUAUCAGCUUGUUGGUGAGGUAAUGGCNCACCAAGGCGACGACGGGUAGCCGGCCUGAGAGGGCGACCGGCCACACUGGGGCUGAGACACGGCCCAGACUCCUACGGGAGGCAGCAGUGGGGAAUAUUGCACAAUGGGCGAAAGCCUGAUGCAGCGACGCCGCGUGAGGGAUGACGGCCU
rnacentral:rRNA from 1 species